UACGGAGGGUGCAAGCGUUAAUCGGAAUUACUGGGCGUAAAGCGCACGCAGGUGGCUGAGUCAGUCGAUUGUGAAAGCCCUGGGCUUAACCCGGGAAUUGCAGUCGAUACUACUCAGCUAGAGUAUGGGAGAGGGCAGUGGAAUUCCCGGUGUAGCGGUGAAAUGCGUAGAUAUCGGGAGGAACAUCAGUGGCGAAGGCGGCUGCCUGGCCCAAUACUGACACUCAGGUGCGACAGCGUGGGGAGCAAACAGG
rnacentral:rRNA from 1 species